UACGAAGGGUGCGAGCGUUAUUCGGAAUCACUGGGCGUAAAGGGUGCGUAGAUGGUGUGUUAAGUUUGUUGUUAAAGGCUCCGGCCUAACUGGAGUAUUGCGAUGAAAACUGGCGCGCUAGAGGGUGAGAGAGAGAAGUGGAAUUCCCGGAGUAGCGGUAAAAUGCGUGGAUCUCGGGAGGAACACCAAUGGCGAAGGCAGCCUCUUGGCUCAUUCCUGACAUUGAGGCACGAAAGCGUGGGGAGCAAACAGG
rnacentral:rRNA from 1 species